GUACCUCGAAGCCCAACACCUGCCAACCCACAGAGUGACCAACGAGUCCUGCAACAGGGCCUGUCAAGGCAUGUGCACCCUGAAGGACAUCCCUCUGUUGAAGGCACAGUGUCACCAAGACAGAGGAGCAAGGCCACCACUGUCAGAGAUGUCUGUCCCCAUAUCAGAAGCCAAAGAACAAUGCUGUCCCCUUGCAGCUGGGCAGGGGCAAACAUCCGGCAGGAAGAGUCCGUGCCAAGCAGAGAGAGGGCUCGGGGCCAGCUGAGCCCUGCACAGCCAUUCAGUUGCCCACGAGCCUCAGUGUUCCCUCCUGGCCAGACCUGGGCGAGGCAGCAGGUACCUCCCCAGCCACAUGCCCACUGCCCACCAUGCUUUACAGACACAAGAGCAAAUCCCACCUAUGUCGAGGUCGACUGCAAACACUUGCCACUGCAGAGAGCUCCAUGUGUCCAGAGACCCAGAGACCCAGUCGCACGGGUGGCUGAAGCAUCAGCCACGGUCAUUCAGUCCUUGAAAGCAGCAGGGCCUCGCGAGGGUGGCACCCGUGCCAUGGAAGACACCCUCCUUCAGGGCUGCUGCCCCCUCUGUCCUCUGGUCUGCUUCCUCUGGGCUCAAACCAUGCACACUCCAGAUGUGGCCCCUCCCUCAACACAGAUAGCGGGACCACUUCAGGGAAGCCGAGGACGGGUGGGCAGGAGGGGGUGGACUGCAGAGGAACUCAGCAGCUGCGGGGCCCAGGGCCCUGGCGGGCCUGCUGGAGCUCUGCACAGGGCCUCUGAGUCACAGUCACUGAUGAUGUGGUUUAGGAGAGGCCAUGAGGAUGGAGCUGGGGCUGGCGGCCCUCAGCUCGAUGCACCUGGGGAAGUCCGCCGGCAGCGUGGACAGCUGGGAGGAAGGAGGCCUAGGCUGCCUGGAACAUGCUCCACGGGUCACGGAGGGACACUAUGAGCGCAUCCCUGCAGCAUGAGGCGGAAACAGGACCGCACCACAUUCCAGGCCUCCCAGGAGAAGCACCUCCUGGACUGAAUCCGCAGUGACCGGCUGCUGCGAGCUGGGAGCGCUGGAGCCUGUGCCGGGGCCAGGAGGGGGCAGCUCCUCGGUGAGUCCCAAGGCAGAGUGUCUGGCUGACAGACCCUCCCCAGCAAGCUCUUGGAGGAGGAAUGGGUGAAGCCAGCCUGGCCCCUUGGAGGCCCUGCCAGGUCUAGUGACAAUCCCCCCACCCGCAGGCCUUUUCAAAGGUGAGCAGCGAGUGGCCUGUCAGAGCUUGCCCGGCCAUCUUCCUGGGGGACCAACACCAGAGGUGGGCACCUCUGAGAGCAAGUCCCACAACACCCGCUCUCUGUCCACGCAGAACGAUUCAUGUCGCCACUCAAAUGCAUAGUCUACUUGAAGGGGAGAAAAAGGUCAAAAAGGUCAAAUCAAGCAGUCAGGGGUGUCUGCAUGUCUACCGAGGCGACCUCACGCUCUUGCCUGGCUCCUGGACACAGGGUGCUGACCUAAGUCUCCUGUCUGUCUUCUGAUCUGAAUGUCACCCCAACACUUUGCUGCAUAAUAUCUUACUCACGACAACAAACGUGCACCAGCCACUGAAUUAAGGCACCUCGUGCUACAUACAGAUCUCCCCAAAAUGCACACUGUCCCUUAUCAGGACAAGCCACUGGAGGCCAGAGCACAUCACUGAGAAAGGCCAAGUGCCACACAGGAGUUGGAAAGAGCUCAGGGGGCGUAAGAGGAAGUCAGGGGGCGUCCAGCCACGGUCAGGGGCUGCUGGAGCACAGGCACACCCCGAGGCCCACAGAAGCGGUGCCAUGAGGGCCGGAGACGGGCAGCCAGCCUGGAGCUCACCUGAUGCGUGCCAAGCGCCUCGACAGCACAGGCCGGGCAUGAGUGUCCCCACUUUACAGAGAGGCACCCACAGACUCUUUCUGCUCUACUGACGUGUUGUCCCCGGGUCCUCGAGGGUGCAGCCACCUGCCAGGGUCCCUGGAACAACCUCUCUGCUCUCCUCAUUUCAGAUCCAACCGUGGCCCCCCCUCAGCCCUCUACACAGGUGCGCACACACACUGCCACUCUUGUGUGCGAGGGGUACUUCACCUCCUGCUCGGGGUCACGCCACGGUGUUUACUGAUAACGGUUCACCUCUCACACCCCCACUGUCUCUGGAAGAACAGCAUUCAUCUCUACAGCACAGGGCCUUGUGUACAGUCGGCGAUUAAUAAAAGUGGGUCAGAGUGAAUGACUUCCGACUAAACUAAUUU
rnacentral:lncRNA from 1 species